UGACCAUAAUGUGGUGGCUUCUCUCCCUUAGGUGGUUUGCCAACUGGGGUUGGUGGCUUGUUUUCUGGGAGUGGCUUCUCUCCCUUGGGUGGUUUGCCAACUGGGGUUGGUGGCUUGUGUUCUGGGAGUGGCUUCUCCCCCUUGGGAGGUUUUUCGAAUGGGGUGGGUUUGUGUCCUGGUGGUGGCUUCUCUCCCUUGGGAGGUUUACCAAUUGGGGUCGGUGGCUUGUGUUCUGGGAGGGGCUUCUCUCCCUGGGGAGGUUUAGUGGGUGGCUUGUGUUCUGGAGGUGGCUUCUCCACCGGAGGCUUAUGCUCUGGUGGUGGCUUCUCGAAGGGGGGAUGCUCAGGGUAAUCACCAAGUGAGGGGGUGGUGAGAACCACCAUGCCAAGCAACAACACUAGCAAGUAUGUAGUAGACAUCUUUGGGUUUGGACUCAGACAGUGCAAAACUACGAGAAAUCGCUAGCCCUUUAUAGCGGCUCGGACCUAAUACUGACAUAAUAUAAAAUAAAUAUUAUAUUUUAUCAAGAGAGAACAGAGUGUAAUUUUAUCAUUAAUACCGAUCGAGGCCAAAGAAAGAAGACCCAUAAUCCAUUUCCCACAAGCAUACACAAUGCAGCUGUAAUUUUAUCAUUUACUUUUAUCCCUUGGACCACUGCAUUUUUGUUGAGAGACACAAUAACACAUUUUUAUCUGUCAUUCAACAUUUACAGUAAAGAGAGGGCACAAAACGCAAUUAGAUAAAUUAUGUUUUGCCUGCUAAAAAGAGGCAAAUAACUUUAUUUGCAACAUAAUUAUUUUGGUUUCUAGUGACCCCGGGGCCUUUCGGUUGGUUUGGGAUCGGAAAAUGAACAUCAUAGGGGGGGUUGUGCCCUUAUGGGCAUAUAUAUCUGAUAGCUUCAACUGGCCUUGUUCCUAGAAAGAAAUUGCCAAAGAUAUAAACUUAUUCCAGGCUGAAAGUAGAUGAGAGUCAUAAUGAACAUCAACCUUUGUUCAGUUUGAUUCAAUGCCCCCAUAGUGUUCAUUUCACAGAUCUGAAUGAUUAUAUCCGUUGAAUACAUAAAUUAAUGAAGACAAAUAUGAAACCCAAGAUACAUCUCUGCAUAACAACCCCAACCCUGGUUGCUAUGUUUCCCUUCUUCUAUUCACAUGAGGAUACUGGUUAUAAUUGUCAAACUUGCAACAAGCCCUUUGACACCUAACGUCAAUGGACGAAUUAAAAGUCUCCUUCAAACGUCUAUUUCACAGCAUGAAGCUUAUAAAGGAUGCUGACAACCUUCAGAGUUAGCGACAAAAGAUAAUUAUCAAGGAGAGAUAGUUCCAUGAGAAUUCCAAGGAGUCUGAAUCAAAGACAAAUUGCUCACUCAAGGGUUCUUAUUUUCUUUUAGGUACAAAUCUCUUGAGUGUUGUUAAAGAAACACGUCACUGUCAUUUUGAUUUGCAUUUAACAUUUCACUUUUGUUCUGGAAGGUUUGUUCCGGAAACAUAUCAAAUGAGCAUCAUUUUCUUCUUCGGUGACACAUGGUCGCGAGUACGUGGGUCCAUUUUCAUGCCACUUAGUUGAAAAGUUGGAAAGAAAAAACAUGCCAACAAGAAGAUAGUGAGAGAAGGGGCACUUCAAGCCUUUAACAUGAACAAACAGUAAAUAAAAGAUGUUUCUCCACUCAUAAAAGUGUGUUAGAUAGCAAUAUAACGAAUCACAUCCAAAAUCUUUACUAGGCUCAAACAUAAAGAAGACUCAUUUUUAAGAAAAGAUAAAAAUGGCAUUGUCUGAUAGUAUCCAAUACACGAGAUGGCACUUAAUUUGUACAAGAUCUGUCAAUGCUGACGCACAUUUUCUGAUUAAAAAAAAACUGAUCAGUCAAAAGCAAUGAAGAGAAGUGAUGACAAUGAAUGAUGCUUCCAAUAUUUUCACCCCUUAUAGUGUUCUUCAUGAUUCAGAUAUAUAAUUGGAAAUAGAACAACCCUAUGCCAUACAUUCGUCUAAGUAUGGUGUCUAAUUUUUUGUGUCAGCGGUUGCGAAUGGAGCGUGCAAAAGUCCAAAUUGGCGUCUCUCCAUUUCCACAUAGGAAGGUGACCUUUAUUGACAAAUACCCAAUAUUUGUAGACAUUCCUUAAAUAUCAUAACUUCUUGUUGAUUUGAAAAUCAUUUUUCAACUACCAUGUUUUAAUAAAUAUUUUUUAAAAUGUAUUUUUAUCAAAGUCCACCAUGAUGGAUAAUAUUCACCAUGCAAUAAUUAAUAAAGUACAAACUAAGCGAAAUGAAAAGCAUUUUCUUUGCUUUGAGUUGAUUUUGGUUGCAUUGAGUUGAUUUUGGUUUCAUGGUUUUUUCAACUCUUAUUUUGAUUGGAAGAUGUCAAGAAAAGAAAACAUAAAGAAAAAUUAAAAGGGAAAAAAGAAGAAAAAUAAAAAAAAAUAGAUUUAAAAGUUAAUAAAUUAUUUUUUAUAUUUAUUUUAAUUCAUUUCACUUAUUUUUCUUUUACUAUAUAAAAUUUAAAUAAUUUAAAUUUUAUAAUUAAUUUAAUUACAUUUCAUUUUCUUCUAUAUUUAAAUAUUGGAAAAAUAUUUUACUUAAUAUUUUUUUCUUUAAUUUCUUUGGCAUUUUGGGAACCAAACUUAGCCUUUAAAAUAAAAAACAAAAAAAAAAUGAAAAUAAGGAGGGAAAAGUGAGAAAAGAUAAAAACAAUAUGUAAAGGAUUUGAAAAGUAUUAGUUUGUAAUUACUAUUUGGAUUUCAAUAGUAUUUUAUUUGUCUUUCUAUAUUUCAUGUAAGAGAGAAUUUAAGAUAUUCCCCAAGGCAAAGCAUUAGUUACCUGCAAUCAGUGGUGAUAAGGCUCCAAGCCAAUUUUGGGCCCCAUAUCUUAAGACAGUACAAUUUCCAUUUCAACAUUUCUGAUUUCUCAGAUGUUUCACAUACCACAGAAGAACAUUGUUUGUGAAAAUAUGCAUUUAUGUUGGAUUUUGUAUGCUGUGGGGACUGGGGCAAGGAUCAUAUGGAAGAGUGGUUGACUUUUUCUGUACUUUAACGGUUGAAAUAGGAUAAGCACGGGCAUUUGUGAGGCUUAAUUGAUUUUGAAGCCUGAAAUUGCGUUUCUGUCAUUUUGUCAAAAAAAUGGCAGAUUCCAUACUCAUAUGUUUGGCCUGUGGCCAUGUACAGAUGCCAUUUAGUGACCAGUUUGUAACUGUCAAUCGUUGCGUUUUGACUCUGCCUCAACAACAUCUGCCAUUGACGGGUUUUCAUACUUGCAAAUCAAAUAGUCUUUCGUCCCAUCAGGAAUUUCGGUUUAAAUAUUAUUAAGCAUACGUUUGGCUGACAAUCAUUAUCCAGUUCAUGAUUUGGUUUCUUACCCUUAAUCAAUGGUUUCUAAGUGAAUAUAUGUAGAAGGAAAUCCGAAGUGUAGACAGUAGUAUCGAUAACUCUCAAUAUUCUCUAUAUAAUAGAAUAAACAGCGUCAUAGUGAUCGUCGCCUACAAGCAAGGUACAAAUACCAAAACGAGUGACUCACAUAGACAUCUCCCAACAAGAUGUAGUAGUGACUGACACAUGGACACAAUUAACUCGUAGAAAAGGAUAAGACCAUUGCACAGCAGCUCUUAUUUUACAUACUACUUAUGCUAACCAAAGUCAAUUAGUUGGGAUGGGUGGGAGAUGGAGGUUUGUGCGGUGGCUUGUGGGGCGGAGUUGAUGGCUUCUUUCCAGGAGCUUCUGGCUUUUUCAUCGGAGCUGAAGGAGGCUCAAUCUUAUGAGGCGGCUUGUAUGAGUCUUCUUUACUCUCGACAGGAGGGUGGCCAGGGUUGUGAUCAUAAUGUGGUGGCUUCUCUCCCUUAGGUGGCUUGCCAACUGGGGUUGGUGGCUUGUGUUCAGGAAGUGGUUUCUCUCCCAUGGGAGGUUUAGCAAUUGGGGUUGGUGGCUUGUGUUCUGGGAGUGGCUUCUCUCCCUUGGGAGGUUUAGUAGGUGACUUGUGUUCUGGAGGUGGCUUCUCCACCGGAGGCUUGUGCUCCGGUGGUGGCUUCUUGGUUGGAGGGGGCUUGGGGUAAUCAGCAAGAGAUGGGGUGGUGAGAACCACCAGUCCAAGGAACAACACUAGCAAGUAUGUGGGAGACAUUUUUGAGUUUGGGCUGAUCAGAUGAUGCAAAACUAAAGCAUUACGUGACCUUUUAUAGCAUGUAGCUCCCAAUACCCACUAAGUAUUGUGGGGUCCAUUUGUGCCCUACGGGGUUGAAAACUUAGACAAUUGGGCAAGGACCCACCUGACUAUGGAGGACUAGUGAGGUGUGAUCAUAGCUUUAGGAUUUUUCUUCCUCUGCAGCCGUCGUGCCGUUGGCAUGAUUUUCUUAAUCUUAAAUAAAGGCAUAGUUAUAGAGUUGUUUAAUCUCUAAAUGGGAUUUUAUAUAUAUCUUCAGAUAGCCAUUAAUAUAUUUGAUGAAGAAAGAAAGACAAGUGCAUACAACAUGUAUACGACUAGCUUUCAUGGAGUUCAUUUAUGAUCAGUUUUCCUGUACAUGUAAACCAGGAUCAUAUAUAUGUUUCUGUUCCACAACUAUUUUGGAAUCUUGUUUAUCAGUUUUUAUCAUUAUAAUGUCACAUAGGCUGCCAACUUGGGCGCUAAAAGAACCAGUUGGGCUAGUUCGUUUCAGAAUUUCAAUGUGGAUUCAGGAAUUGUUUUGUAAGAUAUGCGAAAUAGUAGAGGGAUGAAUAGUGUUUCAUUAAUAAAAGUGUCCUGUAAAUUAGAAGGUGUCAUAGAAACUAUAAUCAAUAAAUAACUUUUUUUCCCCACGGGUGGUGUUUCUUGUGGGGAUCAGUGACUGGUUUAGGUUCACCCAAAAUGAGUUCAGACUAAAAUUGGUUUGAGUCAAUGCCGUGUCUCUUUUUUCCAGAAAUCAACUAUUUUAUGCAUUGAAUAAAUCAUACAAAGAAAAUAUGAACGCCCGCAAAACCUAAACCCUGGUUGCUAACUUUCUAUGUUUCAGUUCUAUUCACGCAAGAAUAUUAGUUUAAGUUUGGGAAAAAUGGCAACUUACCUAGUGAUUACUUGGUUUUGGUUUGCGACUAUUUACGCAACCAACCAUGAGUUUGACUUUAACGUCAUGGGUUGAAGCCUCCUACAGGAAGGGAGAAAGCUCCACAGCUAGCUCCAAAAGAGAAUUAUCACAUUGAUAGCUCCAGAGAUUCCCAAGGGGACUGAAUCAAAGACAAGUUCCUCACUUUUUCUUCUUUUGAGGCCAAAUAUGAACCAAGGAUCACACAACCUCAUUCAACUUCAUAAGUUUGAUUUCAUGCAGUUGAACACUGGGUGAAGGCCAUGACAAGAAUUGAUUCAAAAAUUCUAUCACUCUUUUAAGUAAUGGAAGAUUAUUAUCUCUGAUUGGCAUCACAACAGCACAUGCUCCUAGAUCUUUCUAGACACUCCAUGCAAUGAAAGCACAAUGGAUCUUGUAACGAUAGAAACUAAGCCAUGCUACAGUACUAGAUGAUGAGGUAAAACUAGUAGACACGGGUGGCAGCCUAUAUGGGAGGGACACAAGUCUAAUUGAUUUGCAUUUCAGCAUUAUAGAUAGGUAUGUUUUGGAAGAUUUGUUCUGGAAAUACCGCACCAAGUAGGAUUCUUUUUCUCUUUAGUGGGUCCACUUGCAUGCCAAUUAACGAGUUGAAAAGUAUGAGCACCUACCUCGUGCUCGUGGAACCGAAGGUCAGUGAAGUGGGGCUCCUUUUGGCCUCGUGUAAACUUGAUUCAGAAGUGAAGUUAAUAGUCUUCCAUUCAGAUGGAUACAUGGGAAUUUUUCUCUUUUAUUUAUUUAUUUAUUUUUUUUUUGUGUGUGUAUGUCAAAGGAUAAUGAAUGAAGCGCGUUAGCUUGUUUUCUGACUGGAACCGCAGAUGUCCAAAUUGGAGUUCCUUCAUUUCUUACUUAGGAUUGUUACAUGUAUAAACAAGGUAUAAGAAAUAUGCCAACGUGUCUUGAGGAGUUAUUGAUUAGAAAUAACAAGUCACCCGACUGUAGAGUUCCAAGAUUUGAAUCUUCAGACCCUAUAGCAGCCUCUGGGGUACGUGGCAUCCUAUAGCAUAUUAAUGAAGGCUUUUUCGAUUUAGACUUCACAAUACCAAUUAAUAUGUAUGCACAAAAUGGAGAUGACCCCAAAAAAAACAGAAUCGCCAUAGUUUAUGAGGUUAAGGUGAUUCUCCACUUAAUAUCUACAUUAGCUAAUUAUGUAAAUCAAAUGAACUUCUAUUUUUCCUUUUUUUUUUUGGUUUAUGUCAAAUAGUAGCCCAUAAUUAACCCAACCAUUAGCCUGUUUGAAUUGAUUUCACAUGCACAAUGUUGUAGUAGUUCAUAUUUUGAAUUUUAUUUUUACAAAGGUAGUUAAGGAAAAUGAAGUAUAAUAAUUAUAAAAGCAGACUAUAUACACUACAAUAAUUGUUAGAAUGGUAUCUCAAAUUCUAAUUUAAAAUAUUAUUUUUUGUAAAAGAAAUAUUAUAUAGAAUAUUUCCUAAUUUUAUAAAUGAUUAUAAUUAGAUCUUUAUAAAAUAAGGAAAGUUGGUAAGAAUAUCUUUAUAAAUAUUUUAGGUCAUGAGAGAAAGAAAUGGGAUAAAAAUGUGAUGAAGAGGUGAAAUAAGAGAGUUGAUUAGGAUAUAGAUGUGAAGAAGAAAGGGAUUCAAUAUAUAUAUAUCUUUCAAUUACCACAUUAAAACCCUGUGAACCUUUUAUAUGGUUUACUUUAUUUUUAUAUUCCUCCUUUAAUAUAUUUACAUUAAUGCUUCCAUUGGCACAACAAUAACGAAUUACAAAUACAAGCAACAAGUCCCAUGUUUUAUUACCAAAAGCAGGUAAAAUCCACCUAAUAUAUUACAAUAUAUUCAUCCAAUAUUUUAGACCAAUUCUUCACCAUAAAUAUCAUAAUGUGGCUUUUGUUCUUUCUUAAAUUUAAAUUGAAUUGUCUUAUAUCAAUUUGUUUGUGAUUUUUUCAUUAACUUCACUUUCAUUUGGUUAUCUUUGGUUUUUGAAAAGUAUUAAGGAAUUAAUUAACAAAAUAAUGUUAAGAAAAAUAAUUUUCUCUCUUUUGAUUUUGAUUUUGUAGUAGAAAAAUAUAAUUAAAAUUAUUUAAAAAGUAUGUAAUUUUAAAUUAUUUAAUAUUUAGAUAAAAAAAAUAAGUCUAAUGAGUUUAAAAUAACAUAUAAAAAUAAUUUAUUUAUUUUAAAUUUAUUUUUUAUUUUCCAUUAUGUUCUCUUUCUCUUUUACUUUUUCAUAUUUUUUCUUACGAAGAAUCAAACACAACCUCAUAUUAUAUGUCAAGUGUUUGUCUAUAUUUGAGCAAUGUUAGAUACGGCCAUGGAUUCAUCAAACUAAACUGAUUUUAAUAGAUACUUCACAAAUUGAUUUAUACACUAAAUCAUUGGAUAGCAAUGAUGCAUUGGAAUUAAACGUAGGAUGAAGCUCGAAGAACACUGUUUGUGUAACAACAUAUUUAUGAAAUUAUGCAAAGGAUGAGCUUCGGGGUAGUAGUACAAGGUCAUUAAUGGAGAGCCGUGUUAAACCUUGAUUGUGAUUGGAUUCCGUUAUCAGCAACAGCAACCUUGUUUGUAACCUUGAAAGUCAUUCUGUCCACAUCGAAACUCCAAUUUGACGUUUGUAAUUACCAUUCCUGGAGUGUUCCUUGAUUGAAAUUUAAAUAAUAAUUGCGGCCCACAAGGAAUAUUUUCGAUUCUGUGGGAAUUUGACAAGGUUUGUUAGAGAAGACUGGUGACAUGUUGACUUCAAUGGUUCAAAUAGGAGACGUAUGUGGAUUUGGGGGGUUUAAUUGAAACUGAGUCCCUAUGGCUUUUUAAUAUUUGCAUUGAGCAGUCUCCAUGUGACUUCCUAAUUCCCACCAACCCUCCUGUCCAUGCUGUGAAACUAAAUUGUAAUUUAUCAGCCUUUGUCAAUGGUUUCUAAAUUAAAGAUAUAGACCAUGCAUGUACUUUAAUAAAAGCAAAUCUAAAGUGUAGAUAGCAGCAAUGGUGACACCCAAUAUUCUCCAUAAAAUAGAAUUAGAAUAAGCAGUGUUACAUUGUUCAUGAUCACCUACAAGCAUACAAGAACUUCCAUGAAUAACUCAUAGCAAUUGCCAACAGGGCGUCGUAGAGACUCAUACAUAGAACACUAUCCACCCAGAGGAAAGGACAAGACCAGUGCGCUGCAGCUCUUAUUUUUCACAUGUAUACCACCACUCGUAAUAACCAAAUUCACUCAGUUGGGAUAGGUGGGAGAUGGUGGUUUGUGGGGUGGCUUGUGGGGAGGAGUUGGAGGAGGCUUUAUUUUCUGAGGCGGCUUGUAUGAGUGUGCAGGAGGAUGCCCGGGAGUGUGACCAUAAUGUGGUGGCUUCUCUCCCGUAGGUGGUUUGCCAAAUGGGCUUGGUGGCUUCUCUCCCUUAGGAGGUUUACCAAUUGGGGUUGGUGGCUUGUGUUCUGGGAGUGGUUUCUCUCCCUUGGUAGGUUUGCCAAUUGGGGUUGGCGGCUUAUGUUCUGGGAGUGGCUUCUCUCCCUUGGGAGGUUUGCUAAUUGGGGUUGGCGGCUUAUGUUCUGGGGGCGGCUUCUCUCCCUUGGGAGGUUUGCCAAUUGGAGUUGGCGGCUUAUGUUCUGGGAGUGGCUUUUCUCCCUUGGGAGGCUUGCCAAUUGGGGUUGGCGGCUUAUGUUCUGGGGGUGGCUUCUCUCCUUUAGGAGGUUUGCCAAUUGGAGUCGGCGGCUUAUGUUCUGGAAGUGGCUUUUUUCCCUUGGGAGGUUUGCCAAUUGGGGUUGGCGGCUUAUGUUCUGGGGGUGGCUUCUCUCCCUUGGGAGGUUUGCCAAUUGGAGUCGGCGGCUUAUGUUCUGGGAGUGGCUUCUCUCCCUUGGGAGGUUUUGUUGGUGGCUUGUGUUCUGGAGAUGGCUUCUCCCCUGGAGGCUUGUGCUCCGGAGGUGGCUUCUGAAAUGGCGGGGGCUUGGGGUAAUGAGCAAGAGAUGGAGUACUGGUGAGAACCACCAUUCCAAGCAACAAUACUAGCAAGCAUGUGGGAGACAUCUUUGAGUAGUUGUAGCUAAGAUGGCGCAACACUGUAGGCAUUGGGUGGCCUUUUAUAAAGGGCUGGACCCAACAGCCAUAUGACACGUGUCAUGAUGACAAAUGAAGUUGAGGGGAUCCAGAUGGGUCCUACUGAGUCGAAAACUUGCACUAAUUGAUCUGGUGAGAUGACUAUUUCUGUCCUUUUGCCCUUCUCGGCCACCCUGUGCUGUUUUCCUUUUGCACGAUUUUCGUUGCCAAACAAGCAAAUAAUAUUUCGCCAAGAAAGAGGAGAGUGAAUGUGGAAUGCAUCAAGUCCCAUCAAGGAUGGCAGAGAAGAAAUAGAAGAUUGCCCAACUGUGAUAAACAUAGCAUACACGUAGCACCAGGAACUUCAUUUACUUCCAUCUAAUGGAACAUAACAAUCUUCUAAAGUUUUUGCAUGAUUUUGUUAUAUGUCUCUUAGCCUAAAGUUGGAAAUGCGCAACAAAUUUUGUCACUUCUCUAUUUCCCACUGAUGAUGUUAAUUAGCCUUCAUAGAUAUCAUCCUUUCUACAAAGUGCUUCAUUUGUGUGUUAUUGUAAAGUGUAAGAAAAGUAAUUGAACAUGUUCUUUUUCCUUUCAUAGAUGACUUUUGAUGUGCAUUUUAAAAGCAGCGCUGUGAGUCGGUGACCUUGAUUCACACGGAAACUAAGGCUCCUAUAGGACCCACUUUUAGCUGGUUAGGGGUGAAGAAAAUAUCAACUUUUCAGAGUGAUUUAAGUCAAGGCCAAGCCUCACUGUGUCAUUACUCGUGUGAAUUUUAUAUGCACAUACAUACAUAAAUAAAGUAUGAGACCCAAAUAACACCUUCCCUUUACAAACUUAACCCCAGCCGCUCUCUUUCAAUUCUUUUCACACAAGGGUAUUGACUCUAUAAAGGUCAAGAAAAUCAUAAUUUCCUAGGGUUUACAAGGUAAUUGGCUUAAUGCUAAUGUGAAAACAUAAAAGAUAAUAGUAUAUUGUAAGCUAACGAAUAUUCUAUAGUUAUAAUUAUUUGUGAUGUGCAUAAAUAAAUCUUCAUAUAUAUAAUGGAACAAUGAAUAAAGAACCAAUGAAAAAAUACUAUAUAUCAUUGCUUGGCAUUUAAACCGUAUAUGCUGCUCUUUCUAGCUACUCCAUCCACUGAAAGACAACAAGGUAAUCCAUGUUAUAAUGAUAGAAGAUACUGUCUCUAGGCUUUUUGUGAUGAAAAAUAUAAGAUAUGGGUAGGGUUGACCCUUGUAUGUUUGUCCUAUAAACACUUCAAAGUAACAUAUUUUUCUUCUUUAGCAACUCAUAAUGAUGGGGUUCAUUUGCAUGUCACUGAGUUGAAAAGUUGGACAAUUGCCCAUGUCGCCUUCCUCCUAGAUUCCGUAGUUCACGGGAAGGUAACUCAAGUUUGACAUAUUUUGAAUUCUUUUCACUCGGACGUCUUCAUAACCUGACAAAACAAAAAUGAAAAACAGAGGAUUGGUAUAUUAUUCAUGGUAAGCCUCAAAUUAUAGUAGUAUGAGAAAGGAGAAAAAGAUUUUGGGAACUCCAAUCUGGAUAAUUCUCGUUUCUUCUCUUGAAUAAAAAUUUCACUUACCUAACUUCGUUUGGAGAAAUGGCAUAUUUUAAUUUUGUACGUCAUUGCUAAUAAAUGGAGCAAUUUAGCAUGUUUUGUGACUGAAACUGCAAAUGUCCAAUUGGCAUUUCUUCAUUUCCCACUUAGGAUCUGAUCUUGUAGACCAUAUAACGAUAUGUAUCUGUGCAAGCAUUGAAAACUAAUGUGAACUAUGAGGAGUUACAAGCCACUGGACUGUAGAGCGAGUGCCAAGAUUUAAAUCUUCAGGCUCUAUCUGGGUAAGGGGAGGAUAGCGACCUAACCUUUUACCAAAGGCUUAGAAUUUAGACUUUUGGAAAAAAAUUUCUCAUGUUUUGGCUGGAUUUCUUGUGCUUGGCGCAAAAAGGAGAUGGCCUCAAGAAAUAGCAGACUCACUUUUGUUUUCAGCCCUUAAUAAUUCUCCACUGCUUUCCAUAACUACAUGGGUUAUACAUGCAGUCUGCUGCAAUAUUCCAGUUAUAUUUAUUAUUUCAAAGAGGGUGAAUGACUUCACAUGCAAUAUGUUGCAGUAACAACCCAAAUUUUGGCACACCAUCUUAAGAAUAGAAAAGUAUAAUAAAAGAAAUCAAUCAGAGAAUCACUUUGCAUGCAGUUCAUAGAGUUCGCCCAAAAUGGAGCCACAUGUACGGACAACCCCACAAUAGACAAUCUUCUCUAUACAGUAAUAAAAUACAGAAAUGGUUAAUGAAGCUCUGUAUUUCCUUAUCAUAUAUGACCGGUUGAAAACUCAGCAAGUCUUCCUCAAUCACAGACAGUUGGAGUUGCUUCAUCAAAAUCAUGCCUUCAUUACUGGCUUCAUUUUGGUUUCAAUGUCUGUUCUACCCUUAAAUUGGGUCUCUGCUUACUACCGGGAUAUCCUUUAGCGUCCUGCAAUUCUACUAGAUUAAAGAGAAUGACUUAAUUCUGCAUUCUGCCGUCCCUAGUCCAAGUGGUACUAGAAUUGAUGUUUCCUUUAGUGUCCUUUCUUCAUACUUUCAGGUUCUUCCCUUGUUUCAAUAAUGCUGUUUUCCUUCAUGUUUAACCUCUGUUGAACCACUUAAAACAACACAAUUUGCACACCAAUGUUUCUUUACAGAAAAGACUGUUUGCAAAAAUGCACAUGUUAUAAGGUUAAUGGAAGAAUUAAUUUGGGGAUAAGGGACUAGGAUUGGGCCAAUGAAGUUUGGUGUUAAAUUUUGAUUAUGAUUGCUUUUCAUUAUCAGGUACCUUAUAUUUGCUGAUGCUAUCUGGAACUAAAUUCAAAUCAGACAUUAUCCGAUUACUAACAGGACAUAUCAUGUCCCUCUGCAGAGUUUCUAAACUAACAUGUAUCGAAAUGUGGCCCCAAAAGGAAGGCUAGGAAGAUGGAGGAUUUUGUAGGAAUCGACCAGAAUCAGAUGGAAGAGAGAUAGUCCUGUUGACUUUAAUGGUUGUGAUAGGAACAUGCAUCAUUAUAUGAGAAGUUGCAUGAAUUUAUGUAUCCUGUUAUCGUUCCUUGACGAUUUCCCAAUGCAAUUUCACUGUCCACAAGACUAACCUCUCCAUGCAGUCAAAUGAAUUGUAAUUUCUCUAUUGGUACCAGUAGUACAUUUCAUACCAAACAUAUAGUAAAUAUAAAAUAUAAAUAGAUCAAGGAAAUCUGAAUUGUAGAUAGCACUGCAAGUAACACUCAAUAUUCUCUAUAUAUAAUAAAAUAAACAGUGUCACAAUACUCAUCACCCAGUGGCAAGGGAGAAAAACCUACAAUGAGUACUCAAAUCACCAUUCUCAAACAGAAACAUAGCAGUGACUGAUACAUAGAACCUAUAUGCUCACAGGGAAAGAAUAAGAUGACCAGUGCACAGCGGGCAGCAGCUCUUAUUUUACGUACAACUCAAAUCCCAAACUAACCAAAGUCGCUCAGUUGGGAUGGGUGGGAGAUGGUGGUUUGUGGGAUGGCUUCUGGGUAGGAGCUGGUGGCUUCUGUCCCUUUGGUGGUUUGCCUAAUGAGCUUGGUGGCUUGUGCUCCGGGAGUUGUUUCUCUCCCUCGAGUAGGUUUCGAGUCUUGUCAGAUGGCUUGUGUUCUGGUGGUGGCUUCUCUCCCUGGGGUGGUUUGCCGAAUGGGCUUGGUGGCUUGUGUUCGGGGAGUGGCUUCUCUCCCUGGAGAAGGUUACGAGUUUUGUCAUAUGGCUUUUGUUCUGGUGGUGGCUUCUCUCCCUGGGGUGGUUUGCCGAAUGGGCUUGGUGGCUUGUGUUCGGGGAGUGGCUUCUCUCCCUGGAGAAGGUUACGAGUUUUGUCAGAUGGCUUGUGUUCUGGUGGUGGCUUCUCUCCCUGGGGUGGUUUGCCGAAUGGGCUUGGUGGCUUGUGUUCGGGGAGUGGCUUCUCUCCCUGGAGAAGGUUACGAGUUUUGUCAGAUGGCUUUUGUUCUGGUGGCGGCUUCUCUCCCUGGGGUGGUUUGCCAAAUGGGCUUGGUGGCUUGUGUUCGGGAACUGGCUUCUCUCCCUUGGGAGGUUCAGUUGGUGGCUGCUGUUCCGUAGGUGGUUUCUUCACCGGCGGCUUGUGCUCCGGAAGCGGCUUCUCUACCUGGAGAAGCUUACGAGUUUUGUCCGAUGGCUUGUGUUGUGGUGGUGGCUUCUCUCCCUGGGGUGGUUUGCCAAAUGGAGUUGGUGGCUUGUGUUCGGGGAGUGGCUUCUCUCCAUUGGGAGGUUUAGUUGGUGAUUGGUGUUCCGUAGGUGGUUUCUGAAGUGGGGGAUGCUUGGGGUAGUCAGCAAGAGACGAGGUAGUGAGAACCACCAGUCCCAGCAGCAACACUAGCAAGCAUGUGGAAGACAUCUUUGAGUUCAGGCUGAGAUCUGUGCAAGGAUAACAGAAUUAGGUGGCCUUUUAUAGAGGCCUGGACCCAACACCCAUAUGACACGUGUCAUGCACUCAUGGUGACACAUAAUUCUAUGGGACCAUUUGGGUCCUACAGAAGUUGCAAAGUUGGACUACUGAGGUGUGAUCACAACUUUUGUCCUUAUUGCUUUCUCUGCGGCCAUUGCACGAUUUCCUUUAGCAUCAUUUUCUUGGCUAAAUAAGCGUAUUAUAUUUGUGGCAGACCGUCCACGUGUCAUAAACAGAUAUAUUAUAAUAAUGUAGUAUGCUUUUCUCCAAUGGAACAUGACACUCUUCUAAGUCUUGUUUUAAAUAUUGUGCAGGAUUACUUUAUACGUUGCAGUUCCAAGUCAAAAUUGGUGGGCAAACGUUGGCCUUUUUUCAUUUCACCUAAGAUUAAUGCUCACCUGGGAUAGGCACUACAUGACUUAUCUGCUCUUUUACUGUAAAGUUGCUUUGUGUAUGAGAUACACCUCCCCUGCACACCCUCAACAUUCGUUGCUCUGUUUUCCUUGUGUCCAGACGAGGAUAUUAAUUGGAGGCUGACAAAACGACUGCUAGCCCAGGAUUUACAAGGUCCUGGUUUGAGGCUUCGGUGAAAGUAUUUUUGAAAAGACACACAUAGAGAUAGUGCGUUUGGUGCAAUGCAGCACUGUGAGCCAUUCUGACGCGUUCUUAAUUUCAAAACUAAUGAAUGCUUCAAAAUUUUAAGAAGUGACAUUUCCAAAUAUUUGAGUUCGUUUAAUUGAACAUUGGAUAACUAGUGAUCAUAGAUUAUUAUCUGUGCUUGGCACUAUAAGAGGGUAUAUGCUUCUUUUUCUGGCCCCUCCUUCAAGGGAGGAGGGACAAUGUGAUCUGUAACGUUAGAAGCUAUUCCAUGUCAUCUUUGGGCUCAGUUCAAAACUAAAAGAUAAUGGGGGGGGGGGGGGGGGGCAUAUCAUUUUAUAUUUCUUCUAGAAGGUUUGUUCUGGAAAUAUUUCACAGGAGCAUAUCUUUUUCUUCUAUUACGUCAUCCGCAGCCUCCAAUAGGUCGGUUAACAAGCCACCGAGUUGAAAAGUUGGAAAAAUGGGAACACAGCCCGCCUCUUGUAUUCAGUAGUUAAAUAAAAGGUCACUAGAAGUGAGAUCCCUUUUGGCGUCUUGAUUUUCAAUCCAGCACCUCUGUGACCUGACAAACCAAAAAAACUAAAAAAUAAAAAACAGUACGUGGGUUGGUGUUAAGCAUCAAGACAUGUUAAUGAAAGAAGGUAGAGAAUAGGAUAUUGAAAUCCCAAUCCUGAUAACAUGAUUUUCUUUGCUAACAACCAUAUUAUAUUUUAUCAAGAAAGAGUAAUGCAUGUGGCGUCCAUCAAGACCCAUUAGAGUUCCGCUAAAGCUAUAGUUCUGUCAACGUUAUCAUUUACGUUUCCUCUAGAUAAUGGCAUUUUCCUCUAAAGCUCUUGCACCAUUAGGCUUCAAGUCAAAAUUUCACAUGUGAACUUUGGAAAUUUUCUCCAUUUGCCCCUAAGGAUACAGUUAGAAUUGACUUAAAAUCCUGAUUGAUAUGUACUAUUAACCAAAGAAUAUUGUAUAUAAUAAUUGAAAUAUUGUUGAUUCAUCGUGGAAAUACAUUUUGUAAGGAAAGUUGUUGAGAAUUUAGUAUGCUAUAUGGAGAAAAAAGUCAUGACUUAAGGUUGUGUAUGUAUAUUCUAUAUCAAAUAUUAGGUAGGAAUGUGGGAAAGAGCAGAGUGUAAUGAUAAGAAACAAAGAAAUAUAAGAUAUUCUUGAAAGUGGAAAAUAUAAAAUGGCUAACGAGUCAAAUUUAUGAUGCGUAAGGGGGAUCAUGUCACAUAAGAAAACCAUGGCAUACUAAAGACGUACGUGUGGUAUGGAGUAAUAAUUUUGUUAAAAUAAGUUUCUUGUUGGAGUACAUUAGGUGACUAUUCAUAACGUAUCAAAUUAAAGAGUCAAGUGCAUCAAUGAAGGCAUAUGUAGAAAAUUUGUUUGUGACAUGUACCAUAAAGAUAAGAUUGACUUGAUAGAAUUUAGUCUAAGUAGGAGUUGUUAAAGGUGUCUUAAAUUUCUAAUUGAUGUAUAUUUUUUUCUAAAAAAAUAUUAUAUAGAUAUUUUAAUAAAUGAUUAAUUCUUUGUAAAAAUACUUACAUAAUAAAAAACAUCAUUAAAAAUAUCUUUAUAAAUAUUUUAAGUUACAAGAAGGAAAAAAACCACUGUGAGAUAAUGAUGAACAUGCAACACUGUACCAAGUAAAUAAAAAUGUGAUAAAAAAAAAAGAGAAACACUCGAUAAAGGAAGGCUCGUAUAUAAAGAGUAAUAUUUUUAAUCAUAUGAUAGAAUGAUUUUCUCUCAUUCAUGAAUAUAGGCAAGAUUGGGGAACCAUUAUAAAAUUUUGUACACCUCGUGUAAAUUGAUGUUUGUCUUCAUAUUUUACACCAACAAAUGACAUUGAAGUUGUCAUUGAUAAAAGGGAAAAGGCAUGCCUCCACACCAUGUGCUUGAUUCGAAUGGUUCAAGUUUGAAGAAUUUUCUCCGGAAGAUCUAAAACAUUUUCGCCUUUAAAUUUCAUUUGAUUAUUAAUAUCCGAAAAAAUAGUUAAAUACUCUUUCUAUUUUUGAGUUGUUGAAUUUUUUGAAAGUUUUUAUAUUUGUUAUCAAGAAUUUCUAUUUUAUUAAGGGUGAAUAUUUAUAAAUAAGAUAUUAUAUAAUAUUUGGAUAAGAGAGAAUGGUGGAAUAUAAUAAAGUUUUAAUCCUUCCCAAUUUUGAACCUUUUUUUUUUUUUUUGAUAUAAUCGCCUUUCUCUUGCAAUCCUAUUAUCAGGUACCUUAUAUUUGCUGAUGCUAUCUGGAACUAAAUUCCAAUCAGGCAUUGUCCAAUUACUAAUAGGACAGAUCAUAUCUCUCUGUUUCUAAACUAACAUGUAUCGUAAUGUGACCUCAUAAGGAAGGCUAGGAAGAUGGAGGAUUUUGUGGGAAGCGACCAGAAUCAGAUGGAAGAGAGAUAGCCCUGUUGACCUAAUGGCUGUAAUAGGAGAAGCGUGUGGUUUUAUGGGACUUAACUGAUACUAAACCUGUAUGAUGCUUGGAGUGGUGUUUCUUUCAUUUUGUUAAGAAAAUAUGGCAGCAUACAUGCUUUCAACUGAGUGCAUCAGAGCAUCCAUAACAGAUGGUCUGCAACCCUAGGUGCAUGCCACUUUCUGACUGAUAAUGAAAUUGUCAGGUACCUGGCCUUGACUAAGCUCAACAGCAUCACAUAAAGAGAAGCUUUCAUACUUAGAUUACUGUUUAAAGUUUUUGCUUAUUUGAUUUCUUAAUGCCAUUAUGACAUUAUUGAUUCAAUUCUGCUUCCGAUUUUCGAAGUUCUGGGCAUCUACUGAUUGCAUCAUUAUAUGAGAAGUUGCAUGAGUUUAUGUAUCCUGUUAUUGUUCCUUUGCGAUUUCACUGCUCACGGGACUAACCUCUCCAUUCAGUCGAAAUGAAUUGUAAUUUCUUUACUGGUAGCAGUAGUACUUUUCAUAGCAAAGAUAAUAGAAAAUAUGAAAUAUAAAUAGAAGGAAAUCUGGAUUGUAGAUAGCACCAUAAGUAACACUCAAUAUUCACUACAUAAUAAAUAGACAGUGUUACAUAGGUAGAGAAACCUACAAUGAGUACUCAUCACCAUUCUCAAACAGAAACAUAGCAGCGACUUAUACAUAGAACCUAUAGGCUCGCAGGGAAAGAGUAACAUGAUAAGUUCACAGCGGGUAGCAGCUCUUAUUUUACGUAUUACUCAAAAUCUCAAACUAACCAAAGUCACUCAGUUGGGAUGGGUAGGAGAUGGUGGUUUGUGGGGUGGCUUCUGGGUAGGAGCUGGUGGCUUCUUUGUUGGAGUUGAAGGAGGCAUAUUCUUCUGAGGUGGCUUGUAUGACUCUUCGGCACUCUCUGCAGGAGGGUGCCCAGGGUUGUGACCAGAAGGAGGUGGCUUCUGUCCCUUUGGUGGUUUGCCUAAUGGGCUUGGUGGCUUGUGCUCCGGGAGUUGUUUCUCUCCCUCGAGUAGGUUUCGAGUUUUGUCAGAUGGCUUGUGUUCUGGUGGUGGCUUCUCUCCCUGGGGUGGUUUGCCGAAUGGGCUUGGUGGCUUGUGUUCGGGGAGUGGCUUCUCUCCCUGGAGAAGGUUACGAGUUUUGUCAGAUGGCUUUUGUUCUGGUGGCGGCUUCUCUCCCUGGGGUGGUUUGCCAAAUGGGCUUGGUGGCUUGUGUUCGGGAACUGGCUUCUCUCCCUUGGGAGGUUCAUUUGGUGGCUGGUGUUCCGUAGGUGGUUCCUUCACCGGCGGCUUGUGCUCCGGAAGCGGCUUCUCUACCUGGAGAAGCUUACGAGUUUUGUCAGAUGGCUUGUGUUGUGGUGGUGGCUUCUCUCCCGGGGGUGGUUUGCCAAAUGGACUUGGUGGCUUGUGUUCGGGGAGUGGCUUCUCUCCAUGGGGAGGUUUAGUUGGUGGUUGGUGUUGCGUAGGUGGUUUCUGAAGUGGGGGAUGCUUGGGGUAGUCAGCAAUAGACGAGGUAGUGAGAACCACCAGUCCCAACAGCAACACUAGCAAGGAUGUUGAAGACAUCUUUGAGUUCAGGCUGAGAUCU
rnacentral:lncRNA from 1 species